GCCUUGGUGGAUCAAUUGGCAGAUCAUCCCUCAUCAGUGCUAGCCCACAAUCCUCCACGAAUAUACGGGAAGACGGAGGUUCGAAUCCUCCUCAAGGCA